UGAACCUUUACUAUAGCUUGACACUGAACAUUGAGCCUUGAUGUGUAGGAUAGGUGGGAGGCUUUGAAGUGUGGACGCCAGUCUGCAUGGAGCCGGCCUUGAAAUACCACCCUUUAAUGUUUGAUGUUCUAACGUGGACCCGUAAUCCGGGUUGCGGACAGUGUCUGGUGGGUAGUUUGACUGGGGCGGUCUCCUCCUAAAGAGUAACGGAGGAGCACGAAGGUUGGCUAAUCCUGGUCGGACAUCAGGAGGUUAGUGCAAUGGCAUAAGCCAGCUUGACUGCGAGCGUGACGGCGCGAGCAGGUGCGAAAGCAGGUCAUAGUGAUCCGGUGGUUCUGAAUGGAAGGGCCAUCGCUCAACGGAUAAAAGGUACUCCGGGGAUAACAGGCUGAUACCGCCCAAGAGUUCAUAUCGACGGCGGUGUUUGGCACCUCGAUGUCGGCUCAUCACAUCCUGGGGCUGAAGUAGGUCCCAAGGGUAUGGCUGUUCGCCAUUUAAAGUGGUACGCGAGCUGGGUUUAGAACGUCGUGAGACAGUUCGGUCCCUAUCUGCCGUGGGCGCUGGAGAACUGAGGGGGGCUGCUCCUAGUACGAGAGGACCGGAGUGGACGCAUCACUGGUGUUCGGGUUGUCAUGCCAAUGGCACUGCCCGGUAGCUAAAUGCGGAAGAGAUAAGUGCUGAAAGCAUCUAAGCACGAAACUUGCCCCGAGAUGAGUUCUCCCUGACUCCUUGAGAGUCCUGAAGGAACGUUGAAGACGACGACGUUGAUAGGCCGG
rnacentral:rRNA from 1 species